rnacentral:lncRNA from 10 species
UCCUACUUAUACUUCUCCCUAAUACUGGGACACACAAAUCCCCUCUUGAAGCUUAGGGCUACAAUUUUCUUCAUCGUCUGAUAAUCCUCAGUUUAUAUUUUCUCUAGUUAUUUUUGUUAACUGGAAACAAAGCCUGUUAACACUAACAUGUGUUAGUCCAUUAGUGAAAGUUUUCACAUAUUUAUUCAGUUAGUUUGAGCUGAUAAAGACAACUUUGGAAAUUUUUCCUUUGUUCCUGAAAAUAACAAAUAUGAAGAACCCCCACUUGCUGGUUUCUACAAUAGAUUCCGGCACUUUUAAAAUUGAACAUAAAGUGUUUUCCAUUGAGGCUCUACACUGGAAAGCAAAUUAUUUGAUGAGCAUGUGUUUCUUAAAGCAAACAAAUGAUGUGACAGUGCUAACUAGCCUGUACAUAUUUUUCCUUAGUGCGUGUUAAUCAAUUUGCCUACUGGAUAUAUAAAAUAUAUGUGAUGGUUAAUACUGAGUGUCAACUUGGAUUAGAUUGAAGGAUGCAAAUUAUUGAUCCUGGAUGUGUCUGUGAGGGUGUUGCCAAAGAAGAUUAACAUUUGAGUCAGUGGACUGGGACAGGCAGACCCACCUACCAGCUGGGUGGGCACCUUCUAUUCAGCUGCCAGCAAAUAUAAAGCAGGCAGAAAAACUUGAAAAGGCUAGACUGGCUUAGCCUCCCAGCCUACAUCUUUCUCCCAUUCUAGAUGCUUCCUGUCCUUGAACAUCAGACUUCAAGUUCUUCAGUUUUGGGACUUGGACUGGCCCCUUGCUCCUCAGCUUCCCAAUGGCCUACUGUGGGACCUUGUGAUCAUGUGAUCAAAGAUGACUUUUAACACAAUUGGAACCAAGCUGCUCAUAAGAAUGACAAAAAAAAAAAAAAAAAAACAGACAACUAAUUUGCACUUGCUUAAUGUUGGUCAAAAUGCAGUGGAACCUCGUGUUCUUUUUCAUCAAUAUCUCUUGAAUGUGGUCAAGAGCCAGAAGCUCAGCUGCAUCAAUUAUGUGAACUUGUGUGAAUCCUUUGAUUAUAAUCAUGUUGUCAAGAUCCAAUUAUGUUUCAUUGAUAAAGCAAGAAAUGGCAAUAAUAACCAGAAAUAUUCUAGAACUGGAGCUUUCAACUACUUGAGCGAAUUUCUGUUCUUAUUAUGUUGUGGACAAAAGCUUAAUGUUAAGCCAGUAAUUGAACUUUAGAUUUUGUAGGAAAAAGUAAAUGAUGACCCUGAUAUUGGAAACUUAUAAACUCUCAAGAUUUAAUACCAAAGAAAUUUAUGUGGUCAGGGAAUACUCUUUAAGGGAUUGAUGUUUUAGUUGGUAGCUGAAUAACAAGAACAAACUAGCCAUCAUAGAAUUUGGGAGAAAGUCUUCCAGGCAGAGUGAAUAACAAGGGAAAUAUCCUAAGGCUAGAAUUAGCAGAGUUUUCAAGAAACAGAAAGAAGUUCACAUGGAGCCAAGGCUAGUGAGCAUAGAUGAGGGUAAUCUGAGAUGAAGAUUGUGAGACUAGCCCAACAAGAUUAUGUAUAGGCCCCUUGUACCAUGGCAAGGGGUUUCAAUUUUAUUAUGGGUACAGUAGAACACAAUUAAAGGAGUUUUCACAAGAAUAGCAAUGUGAUUCUGUCUACAUUGUUAAAGAAUCACUUUGUCUAUUGCAUGCAGAAUGGACCAUGGACAUCAGACACAGAGGCAGGGAGAUAAGAAGCUGUGUGCAGUUGUGCAGGAAAGAGAUGAUUGUACCUGGACUACAGUGAUAGAAGCAGAGAUGGGAAAACAAAGGGAGAGUUUAGACAAGCAUUAAAGGUGAAGUUCAUAGUAGUUGUUUGGUUGUAGUCAGUGAGGAAAAUUAUACAUUCAGAAAUGACUCCUGGAAUUUUGGCUUAACGAAUUAGUGUGGGUGGAUGAUAUUGCUAUUUACAGAAAUGGUAAGUAUUAACAAAAAGACAAAUUUGUCUCUGGUUUUGAACAUGCUAAUUUCGAGAAGCCUGUAAGUUACAGAUCUCUCAUAAGCAAUUAAUAGUAGCAGUCAUGGGGAGGUUCAGGCUAGAGAGAAAAGUUUGGAAUUGUCAGCAUAUAGAUAGUAUUUAAAGCCAUGACAGGAAGUGAAAUUAAAAAGAUAAAUUGAAGGAGAUAUUGAAACGAAAUGAAGUAUAGGCUAACUCCUUAGGGAUUCCAGUGCUUAGGGUUUUAUUAGUAGGGAAGGACUCCUUAUGUAAAAGAAUGAGCUGAAGAAGAGAAAAGAAGUGGCCAAGUAAAAAAUAAGAAGAGAAAGUUUCACAGAAUACAAGAGACAAAAGUGAAGUAUGAGAGAAUGAACAAGAUUAUUUAACAGGAUAAGCACUGGAAAAUAUCCAGUUGAAUUAGCAUAGUAGAUACGAUCUUGGCAAGAAUAAUUUGUGUCGAUUGAUAAGGACCAAAUUCUCAUUGGAGAGCAUGGGACAGUGAUUAGGAGAAGUGGUAGGCAACGGGUUUGUAGAAAAUGCUUCCAAAAAUUCAAGAAGGGAAGUAGAUAAAUGGUGUCAUAGUUAGAAAAGGAUGUGAAGAAAGAAGAGCUGUAUUUAAAUCUGGAAAAUUCUGGAGUAGAUUUCUGUACUUCUGGCAGUAAUUCUGUAGAAUAAGAGUGGUAAGGCAGGAGAGGAGAUGCCCACAGAAGUAAGGCGCUUAAUGAGGUGAUCUAGGGUGUAAUAGAGCAUAUGGAAUAUUGGACUUGCCAGGACAUCUCUCCUUUGGACAAGAACAAAGGAGAAAAUGGAAGCAAAUUCAGGUUAGGUUUAUAGAUUUAGUCAUGAGUAUGUGGGGCAUAGAACUUACUCAUCCCACAUAUCUGCAACUUUAGACCUCUUGACCUCCAUCUCCACAUUUCCUCCCAGCCUCUACACCUCGUAAGUACCAUUUUAUUCUCUAUUUUUUUAUAUUUCACUUUUUUUAGAGUGCACAUACAAGUGUGAAUUCUAAUUAUAAUAUUGCAUUAUGUACUGAAAACAUGCUAAGAGUGGAUAUCAUGUAUUCCUACCACAAAAAAAAUGGAUAACUUUGAGAUGAUGGAUAUGUGAAUUUGCUUGACUACAGCAAGUAUUUUGCUAUGUUUUAGUAUAUCAGAACACCAUGUUGAACACCUUAAACAUAUACAGUAAAAAAGAAUAGGUGGCAUAUUUCUUUUGUGAGGCCUUCAGUAUUUCAGUGGGAUAUGACACAAUGUUCUGAACUGGGAGUGGAAAGGGGGUUAAGGAGAGCAGCAGACUUGCGGGGAAGAAAGAGGCAUGAAAUAUUCAUUUCUAAAAGUAUAAAAGUACACUUAAAAAAAAAAGCAUGGGAUUUCCAGGAAGUAUUGAGCACCCAUUUGCAGUUCAAGAUCAUGAAUUUGUUGUGAUACCAAUCUGGUCAGUUUCAAGUUUUUUCUUGCAAAACUUCACUGCCUGAAUACAGAUACAAAGAAAGUAAAAGUUUAUCUCUCAAUUUGUAGAUUUUCUGGACGUGUAAUGGAAGCAUGAAAGGUUUGCAG